rnacentral:rRNA from 1 species
UGAAUACGAGACGCUAAGGCGUCGAAGUAGUGUAUGUCAUACUUCCAAGAAAAGCUUGCACUGUCAUAGAUAAAAAACGCCUGUACCAUAACCGACACAGGUGGGUAGGUAGAGUAUACUAAGGGGCGCGAGAUAACUCUCUCUAAGGAACUCGGCAAAAUAACUCCGUAACUUCGGGAGAAGGAGUGCCUUAUUCGUAAGGUUGCAAUAACAAGAUCCAAGCAACUGUUUAUCAAAAACACAGGUCUCCGCUAAGUCGUAAGACGAUGUAUGGGGGCUGACGCCUGCCCAGUGCCAGAAGGUUAAAGAAGUUGGUUAGCAAUUGCGAAGCUGAUAACUGAAGCCCUGGUGAACGGCGGCCGUAACUAUAACGGUCCUAAGGUAGCGAAAUUCCUUGUCGGGUAAGUUCCGACCCGCACGAAAGGCGUAAUGAUUUGGAUGCUGUCUCGGAGAGGGGCUCGGUGAAAUAGACUUGUCUGUGAAGAUGCGGACUACCUGCACCAGGACAGAAAGACCCUAUGAAGCUUUACUGUAACUUGAAAUUGAAAUUGGACUUUAUUCGCGCAGUAUAGGUGGGAGGCGUUGAUUAUAAUCUUGUGGGAUUAUUGGAGCCAUCAGUGAGAUACCACUCUUGUAAUGUUAGAUUUCUAACUUUGAAUCAUUAUCUGGUCAAAGAACAGUUUCAGGCGGGCAGUUUGACUGGGGCGGUCGCCUCCUAAACGGUAACGGAGGCGUACAAAGGUUUCCUCUGAACGGUUAGAAAUCGUAUCUAGAGUGUAAAGGCAUAAGGAAGCUUGACUGUGAGACCUACAAGUCGAGCAGGGACGAAAGUCGGUCUUAGUGAUCUGACGGUACUGAGUGGAAAGGCCGUCACUCAACGGAUAAAAGUUACUCUAGGAUAACAGGCUGAUCCCCCCCAAGAGUUCACAUCGACGGGGAGGUUUGGCACCUCGAUGUCGGCUCAUCGCAUCCUGGGGCGGUAGUACGUCCCAAGGGUUGGGCUGUUCGCCCAUGAAAGCGGUACGCGAGCUGGGUUCAGAACGUCGUGAGACAGUUCGGUCCAUAUCCGGUGUAGGCGUUAGAAUAUUGAGAGGAGCCUUCUUUAGUACGAGAGGACCGAGAAGGACAUACCUCUGGUGUACCAGUUAUCGUGCCAACGGUAAACGCUGGGUAGCUAUGUAUGGAGUGGAUAACCGCUGAAAGCAUCUAAGUGGGAAGCCCACCUCAAGAUAAG